rnacentral:tRNA from 1 species
GCCUUCGUUGUGUAGUGGUCAGCACGUUCGGCGCGUAUUUGAGAGUUCCUCGGUUCGAGUCCCGGCGAGGGCA